UGGGGAAUAUUGGACAAUGGGGNAAACCCUGAUCCAGCCAUGCCGCGUGUGUGAUGAAGGCCUUCGGGUUGUAAAGCACUUUCGCACGUGACGAUGAUGACGGUAACGUGAGAAGAAGCCCCGGCUAACUUCGUGCCAGCAGCCGCGGUAAUACGAAGGGGGCAAGCGUUGUUCGGAAUUACUGGGCGUAAAGGGCGCGUAGGCGGUGCACUAAGUCAGGCGUGAAAGCCCUGGGCUCAACCCGGGAACUGCGCUUGAUACUGGUGCGCUUGAAUCCAGGAGAGGUUGAUGGAAUUCCCAGUGUAGAGGUGAAAUUCGUAGAGAUUGGGAAGAACACCGGUGGCGAAGGCGGCCAACUGGACUGGUAUUGACGCUGAGGCGCGAAAGCGUGGGGAGCAAACAGGAUUAGAUACCCUGGUAGUCCACGCUGUAAACGAUGUGUGCUAGCCGUUGGGGCUCUUAGAGCCUCGGUGGCGUCGCUAACGCUUUAAGCACACCGCCUGGGGAGUACGGUCGCAAGAUUA
rnacentral:rRNA from 1 species